GUACACGCUGUGACUAGCAUAUCAAUAAGCGGAGGAAAAGAAACUAACAAGGAUUCCCUCAGUAACGGCGAGUGAAGCGGGAAGAGCUCAAAUUUGAAAUCUUGAAAGGUCACCUUUCACGAAUUGUAGUUUAAAGAAGUGUUUUCUGCUGAAGUUUUGGUAAAAGUUCUUUGGAAUAGGACAUCAUAGAGGGUGAGAAUCCCGUAUUUGACCAUUAUUUUCAGCUUUGUGAUACACUUUCAAAGGGUCGGAUUGUUUGGGAAUGCAGUCCAAAAUGGGUGGUAAAUUUCUUCUAAGGCUAAAUAUUGGCGAGAGACCGAUAGCGAACAAGUACCGUGAGGGAAAGAUGAAAAGAACUUUGAGAAGAGAGUUAAAUAGUACGUGAAAUUGUCAAAAGGGAAGCGUUUAACACCAGUGUUGUUUUCUGAAAAUCAACCUCUGUUAGCUUUAUGCAUGUUUGUUUAGACCUAAUCAGCUAUCUUUCAUGUUCUAUUGUUUGCAGUGGUGCACCUUUCAGUUUACAGGUCAACAUCAGUUUUUUUUACCGUAAAAAAGUUAAAGAAAGGUAGCUCAUGGCUCCGGUCGUGAGUGUUAUAGUCCUUUUCCUAUGCGGUAGGAGAGACUGAGGUCUGCAGUGUAGGCUAUUUGGCUAGAUACUCAGGUGCUAUGUGAUACCAUUUCAUAAACAACUUGUUGAUUAUGUUUUGUCUAUUGCAUACUCGCUUGUACUAUCAUACCUACGCUUAGGAUGUUGAGUAGCGACAUACGCAC
rnacentral:rRNA from 1 species